rnacentral:misc_RNA from 1 species
GUAUUUCGAAUUAUGUAUUCAAAAAUCUUCAGACAAAAAAUUUCAAUAAAGGGUUGGUAUUAUACUGCCAAGAACGCGUAAAACGCGAACUCGUCAGCAAACAUUGCACACAAGGUGAAUACUGAUUUUUAAAAAGUGCAGUAAAACACUUAUUAUGAAUGAUCCUUCCGCAGGUUCACCUACGGAAA